UGUAAAUCUCAAGUCUAUCCAGCAUUUGGUGCGUGGGCCAGGAAAAUCAGCCGUGCUGAUUGAUUAAAAUCACUGGUUGAAGCCCUUGCGGAGGAAGUGGGGAACCGCCCUGCCCCCCACCCCCAAUGGGACAGUAUGCUCUCAGAUUUCUCUGAGUCUCCUCAGAGGACUAGGGAUGAACUGAUUACCGCCUGUGAUUUUUCCAGGCCCAGAAGAAGUGAGGAUGCUUGUCUGGUUUAGUUCGAUAUGGUCAUUGGAUAAGAGAAGCUUCAGUGUUUGCCAUCAUCUUUGGAUGUCCAUUUCCACAUUUAAAGGGCAGACUCCAGCCUUUUGGUGCAGACCCUUUGGCUUCAGGAUAUUGACUCACACCAGACUCUGCAGUGAGCUCCAGGCCCUCCACUUUUGAUUGAUGCAUUCUUCACCCUGACUCUGCAGGUGAAAGUUGAGGCACUGAAAAUGAAUAGAAGCGAAUCUAGGUAUCAAGGGAAGAAGGAAGAUUCAAGUGUUUUCUUGCUGUGCAUUGUCGUUGUUGUUGUUGUCUCUGAAGAUUAUUGCUGCUCUCUGGCUAACAUUGAGUAACAAUGAACUCUAUGGGGCAAAUGUACAAAUCCUGGACCUUUUAUGGGAGGAUUUGAUCCUCCCAUAAAAUGACUUUACUAUUUCUUGUCUUGAGGAAUCUAGAUCAAACAAGUCUUCCAUCCAUUUUUAUCUCCAGCCAUAGACAUAACCAUACCUUCUGGAAACUGUCUGCCUUCUUGGGGCAGGAAAUUCUCACAUGAUACACUGCAGGAUAGUUUAGACACAACUCUGUAUGUGCUCCUUCUGACCCACAAAAAACUCUACCUCUUCACAGUUGCUGAGUUAAGCGUUAGCUAAAUUGGUUCACCCAUGGCUUAGCACAAAUACUGUAUUUCUGUUAUUGAGGAUUGUUAUUAGAACACAGGGCUUUUAACAUCCUUUUAUAUUGAUUAGGGGACCUUAUCAUUAAUUUAGCAGCUAGAAAAAUCUAAUUAGACCGUGUAUUACACAGAGAAUUAAAUGUUGGCUUAAAGGUGUGCACAUUAUCACAUUUACAAGAAUGAGAAGAUGACAAAGUGCUUUUCUAUAUAGCCAACCAAACUGCAAUUCCAGUGUAUUUCUCAAUAAUCUG
rnacentral:lncRNA from 1 species